rnacentral:rRNA from 1 species
AGAGUUUGAUCAUGGCUCAGGACGAACGCUGGCGGCGNUAACACAUGCAAGUCGAGCGAUGAAGCUCCUUCGGGAGCGGAUUAGCGGCGGACGGGUGAGUAACACGUGGGUAACCUGCCUCAUAGAGGGGAAUAGCCUUCCGAAAGNNNGAUUAAUACCGCAUAAGAUUGUAGUUUCGCAUGAAACAGCAAUUAAAGGAGUAAUCCGCUAUGAGAUGGACCCGCGUCGCAUUAGCUAGUUGGUGAGGUAACGGCUCACCAAGGCGACGAUGCGUAGCCNNCCUGAGAGGGUGAUCGGCCACAUUGGGACUGAGACACGGCCCAGACUCCUACGGGNNGCAGCAGUGGGGAAUAUUGCACAAUGGGGGAAACCCUGAUGCAGCAACGCCGCGUGAGUGAUGAAGGUCUUCGGAUUGUAAAACUCUGUCUUUGGGGACGAUAAUGACGGUACCCAAGGAGGAAGCCACGGCUAACUACGUGCCAGCAGCCGCGGUAAUACGUAGGUGGCAAGCGUUGUCCGGAUUUACUGGGCGUAAAGGGAGCGUAGGUGGAUAUUUAAGUGGGAUGUGAAAUACUCGGGCUUAACCUGAGUGCUGCAUUCCAAACUGGAUAUCUAGAGUGCAGGAGAGGAAAGUAGAAUUCCUAGUGUAGCGGUGAAAUGCGUAGAGAUUAGGAAGAAUACCAGUGGCGAAGGCGACUUUCUGGACUGUAACUGACACUGAGGCUCGAAAGCGUGGGGAGCAAACAGGAUUAGAUACCCCAGUAGUCC